GCUGCUGGCUAGCUCAGUUGGUAGAGCGUGUGGCUGUUGAUCUCAAGGCCAUGAGUUCAAGCCUCGUGCUGAGCA